rnacentral:rRNA from 1 species
AACGAACGCUGGCGGCAUGCCUAACACAUGCAAGUCGAACGAAGCCUUCGGGCUCAGUGGCGCACGGGUGCGUAACACGUGGGAAUCUGCCCUUAGGUACGGAAUAACUCAAGGAAACUUGAGCUAAUACCGUAUGAUGUCUUCGGACCAAAGAUUUAUCGCCUAAGGAUGAGCCCGCGUCGGAUUGGCUAUUUGGUAGGGGAAAGGCCCACCAAGGAGACGAUCCGUAGCUGGGCUGGGAGGAUGAUCAGCCACACUGGGACUGGGACACGGCCCAGACUCCUACGGGAGGCAGCAGUGGGGAAUAUUGGACAAUGGGCGAAAGCCUGAUCCAGCAAUGCCGCGUGAGUGAAGAAGGCCUUCGGGUUGUAAAGCUCUUUUACCCGGGAAGAUAAUGACAGUACCGGGAGAAUAAGCUACGGCUAACUCCGUGCCAGCCGCCGCUGUAA